rnacentral:rRNA from 1 species
GACGAACGCUGGCGGCGUGCUUAACACAUGCAAGUCGAACGGAAAGGCCCUGCUUUUGUGGGGUGCUCGAGUGGCGAACGGGUGAGUAACACGUGAGUAACCUGCCCUUGACUUUGGGAUAACUUCAGGAAACUGGGGCUAAUACCGGGUAGGAGCUCCUGCUGCAUGUUGGGGGUUGGAGAGUUUCGGCGGUUGGGGAUGGACUGGAGGCUUAUCAGCUUGUUGGUGGGGUAGUGGAUUCCCAAGGGUUUGACGGGUAGCCUGCAUUAGAGGGUGACCGGGCACAUGGCGACUGCGAGACGGACCAGUAGCGUAUGGGACGCAGUGGUGGAGAACAUGGCGCAACGGGCGGACGUGUGAUGCAGCAGCCCUGCGUGCGUGAUGACGGCUUAUGGGUGAUAAACCGCUUUCGCCUGUGCUGAAGAGGGAGUGACGGUAAUGGGUAAAGAAGCACCGGCUAACUACGUG